GACGAACGCUGGCGGCGUGCCUAAUACAUGCAAGUCGAGCGAAGUUUUUCUGGUGCUUGCACCGGAAAAACUUAGCGGCGAACGGGUGAGUAACACGUAAAGAACCUGCCUCAUAGACUGGGACAACUAUUGGAAACGAUAGCUAAUACCGGAUAACAGCAUUAACUGCAUGGUUGAUGUUUAAAAGUUGGUUUUGCUAACACUAUGAGAUGGCUUUGCGGUGCAUUAGCUAGUUGGUGGGGUAAAGGCCUACCAAGGCGACGAUGCAUAGCCGACCUGAGAGGGUGAUCGGCCACACUGGGACUGAGACACGGCCCAGACUCCUACGGGAGGCAGCAGUAGGGAAUCUUCCGCAAUGGGCGAAAGCCUGACGGAGCAACGCCGCGUGAGUGAAGAAGGAUUUCGGUUCGUAAAGCUCUGUUGUUAGGGAAGAACGAUUGUGUAGUAACGAUACACAGUAGAGACGGUACCUAACCAGAAAGCCACGGCUAACUACGUG
rnacentral:rRNA from 1 species